rnacentral:rRNA from 1 species
ACUACGAGCCAAGCUUAAAACCCAAAGGACUUGACGGUACCCCACAUUCCCCCUAGAGGAGCCUGUCCUAUAAUCGAUAAUCCACGUUUAACCUCACCAUUUUUAGUUAAUCAGCCUGUAUACCUCCGUCGUCAGCUUACCACGUGAGCGCCAAUUAGUGAGCCUAAUGUAUUUCACCAAAACGUCAGGUCAAGGUGCAGCAAAUGAAAUGGGAAGAGAUGGGCUACACUUUCUAUUUUAGAAAAAACGAAAGACUACCUAUGAAAUCUAGUUAGAAGGCGGAUUUAGUAGUAAAAAGGAAUCAGCAUAUCCAUUUUAACCCGGCA